rnacentral:rRNA from 1 species
UAAUACGGGGGGUGCAAGCGUUACUCGGAAUCACUGGGCGUAAAGAGCAUGUAGGCGGAUUAAUAAGUUUGAAGUGAAAUCCUAUAGCUUAACUAUAGAACUGCUUUGAAAACUGUUGAUCUAGAAUGUGGGAGAGGUAGAUGGAAUUUCUGGUGUAGGGGUAAAAUCCGUAGAGAUCAGAAGGAAUACCGAUUGCGAAGGCGAUUUACUGGAACACAAUUGACGCUGAGAUGCGAAAGCGUGGGGAGCAAACAGGAUUAGAUACCCUGGUAGUCCACGCCCUAAACGAUGUACACUAGUUGUUGUGAGACUAGAUCUUGCAGUAAUGCAGUUAACACAUUAAGUGUACCGCCUGGGGAGUACGGUCGCAAGAUUAAAACUCAAAGGAAUAGACGGGGACCCGCACAAGCGGUGGAGCAUGUGGUUUAAUUCGACGAUACACGAAGAACCUUACCUGGACUUGACAUAGUAAGAACUUUCUAGAGAUAGAUUGGUGUCUGCUUGCAGAAACUUAUAUACAGGUGCUGCACGGCUGUCGUCAGCUCGUGUCGUGAGAUGUUGGGUUAAGUCCCGCAACGAGCGCAACCCUCGUGUUUAGUUCUAACAGUUCGGCUGAGAACUCUAAACAGACUGCCUACGCAAGUAGGAGGAAGGUGAGGACGACGUCAAGUCAUCAUGGCCCUUACGUCCAGGGCUACACACGUGCUACAAUGGGAUAUACAAAGAGCGGCAAUACGGUGACGUGGAGCAAAUCUUAUAAAAUAUCUCCCAGUUCGGAUUGUAGUCUGCAACUCGACUACAUGAAGUUGGAAUCGCUAGUAAUCGUAGAUCAGCUAUGCUACGGUGAAUACGUUCCCGGGUCUUGUACUCACCGCCCGUCACACCAUGGGAGUCGAACUCAUUCGAAGCGGGGAUGCUAAAGUAGCUACCUUUCACAGUGGAUUUGGCGACUGGGGUG